rnacentral:rRNA from 1 species
UACGGAGGGGGCUAGCGUUGUUCGGAAUUACUGGGCGUAAAGCGUGCGUAGGUGGUUUGUUAAGUCUGAUGUGAAAGCCCUGGGCUCAACCUGGGAGUUGCAUUGGAUACUGGCAGGCUAGAGUGCGGUAGAGGAUGGCGGAAUUCCCGGUGUAGCAGUGAAAUGCGUUGAGAUCGGAAGGAACGCCCGUGGCGAAAGCGAGCCCCUGGACGUCUACUGACGCUGAGACGCGAAAGCCAGGGGAGCGAACGGG